ensembl:snRNA U6 U6 spliceosomal RNA
UUGCUUGCUUUGGCAACACAUAUACUAAAACUGGAAUACAGAGAAGAUUAGCAUGGCCCCUGCGCAGGAUGACAUGCAGAUUCGUGAUGCAUUCUAGUUUUUU